CUGAGGGAAACUGUGAAUCUUGACUGUGAAGCCAUGGAAGGCUGUUUCUUGUUCUGUGAAUUCAACAUUAACUGGGCAUUGACUAUAUGACAGGCGUUGGGCAAUCACUGAGGACAAAGGGCAGCUUUCUGUCCUGUCUGCUCUGGGCAAAGGGCAGAGUCCAGUCAAGGGGACUACGGUUAUGCUAACCAGGGUGCUCUGGGAUACCAAGGAGGAAGGCUUGGAUUCUGCAUGGUGGCGGUGAAGUCUUUCCAGCUUGAAAGGACUUUCCUACAUCUGAUGGAUCCAUCAUCUCACUGCGAGAUGCUCUGAAGGACCUGAAUGAGUUUGUGCUUCAGGAAAUUCCCUCCAGCUGCAAAGCAGAGGGCAGGAAUAGCCAGAGUAGUCACAGAGAAAUGCCUUUGGAGGAUCUUGUGAUAAUCCAGGAAAAUGUCAGAGUGCUCAGGACCAAAAGAAAGGCCAAAAAACACAGGCGAUUCCAGGAGCCCUCGAUGGAAACUUCACUGUCAUGGACGGGAUGAGCAUGAGGCCAUAUAUAUAUUUACUACAGAGGGACCUGUUUGGAUUAGAAGGUGGUUUGACUUCUGGGCAUAACAGGGAAAGGGGCAAGAUUGGAGAUUUAUCCAACUAGAUUUUAUGGUGCAACCUCCUAAUGGGAGGUUUUCUUGUGUGGGUUUUCCCACUGGCAUUUACUUGGUCAUUUUGGAUCUGAGGUCCUUGGGGCCUGUUAGGUUAUGGUGUUGCUGGUUGGGAUUUUGGGGUUCC